rnacentral:lncRNA from 1 species
CAGAUCUGUGUUUCAUUUUUUGGUUCGCGAUCUCCUCUUGCCUUAUUUUGAAAUGUUCAGAUAUAUAAAGUACAAGAUCUAUUGAUUCAGAUAUGUUUUUGGAUGGUGUCAUUUUCAUCUAUUUUGCAAUUGUCAUCUUCUUAGGUGCCAACCAGAUAUAUUUUCUUUUUAUGGUUUCUUUUCUAAUUCGAGACCUAAACCUUAGUUUCAUUUUCAAUGUUGUCUGGGUUCUGAUACCAAUUUUGUGUUUGUGGUGCAAAAUUGAUGUACUAUUUGGUAUUGUAUCAAGGAUUUUUGAGGAAAAUUUGACUAUUUCUAAUGUUGUGCUUUUAAGCAGUGACGUUGAAGGGUUGGGGAGGGUUGUGGUAGAUGGCCCUCUUGACCCACAUAAAGAAGAUCUUUUAUCAAAUCCUCCUCUGCAGAAGUCUUUGACAAUGGUGCGGCAAUUCAUUCUGAAAAGGCAAUAAAAACUUUUCACUCGUUGGUCUCUUGGAGGCUUGUUUUCAAGUUCUCUGUAAUUCUCUACUGCCUUGUUUCGCUGGGCUGAAAUGGUUGGAAUAUCUUUUCCAUCUAAUUCCUGAUGGAUUCACAAUUCUGAGGCAGUACUUGGACGUGGCUGGGUUUUGUAAUUGUUGGGCAUUGUAUUAGCAAAGUUGUCUAAGUGGAGAGCCUUAAUUGUUGGGUUCUGUAACAUCAAAGAUGCUUUUUCUUUUGCUGGGUUCUUUCAUUCUCUUUCUUUUUUCCAGUGUUUCUGGGUCUGUAGCACUUCUGGUCCCCUGUACUUGUUUCUUUACUUAUAUAUAUAAAUUUGGCAUUCCAAAAAAAAAGCA